rnacentral:rRNA from 1 species
UACGGGGGGGGCAAGCGUUGUUCGGAAUUACUGGGCGUAAAGGGCGCGUAGGCGGCCCAGCUAAGUCGAGUGUUAAAUCCCAGAGCUUAACUCUGGACAGUCGCUCGAUACUAGCGGGCUAGAGUGUGGAAGAGGGUGCUGGAAUUCCCGGUGUAGCGGUGAAAUGCGUAGAUAUCUGGAGGAACACCGGUGGCGAAGGCGGCAUCCUGGACCAAUAUUGACGCUGAGGAGCGAAAGCCAGGGGAGCAAACGGG